UACGUAGGUGGCAAGCGUUGUCCGGAUUUACUGGGUGUAAAGGGCGUGUAGCCGGGCUGACAAGUCAGAUGUGAAAUUCCGGGGCUCAACCCCGGACCUGCAUUUGAAACUGUUGGUCUUGAGUAUCGGAGAGGCAGGCGGAAUUCCUAGUGUAGCGGUGAAAUGCGUAGAUAUUAGGAGGAACACCAGCGGCGAAGGCGGCCUGCUGGACGACAACUGACGGUGAGGCGCGAAAGCGUGGGGAGCAAACAGG
rnacentral:rRNA from 1 species